AUCCAUCUGACGAGUCCAAAGUGAGACGAGACGCGCGUCCUGGAU
rfam:Schistosoma mansoni, Puerto Rico, WGS project CABG01000000 data, contig: 0141